rnacentral:tRNA from 1 species
GCUGCCGUAUAUAUAUGGGUUAAUGCGUCCGGCUUUUAACCGGAUAAUGCGGGUUUCGAGUCCUGUCGGCAGCC